AAGAGUCUGCCAGGCAUUUCUUCUCCCAUACAGUAAACAGUGAAAGUCCCCUCUGCAGUAGGAGAAGAAAUAUGGAUUUGGAUUCAGACAAGCAGUAUUCAGUACUGACAUUUACUAGGUGUGUGGUGUUAGAAGCAUCUGAAUUCAGUGGUUAUGAAACCAACCGAUACCAGAGGACUGGGGAAAAUCCUUUCUGAGUUGAGCCCUGCAACUGCUCACAAAUCUCAGCCAGCAUCACUCCUGCUGGCAUCUAGAAUUCACCCCUGCACCCCAGAGCACCCCGAAGGAGCAGGUCCCAGGAGAGGGUGCCUCAGCUCUGCAGGCA